rnacentral:rRNA from 1 species
AUACGGAGGGUGCAAGCGUUAUCCGGAAUCAUUGGGUUUAAAGGUUCCGUAGGCGGGCUAAUAAGUCAGGGGUGAAAUCCCACAGCUUAACUGUGGAACUGCCCUUGAUACUGUUGGUCUUGAGUUACAGUGAAGUGGUUAGAAUGUGUAGUGUAGCGGUGAAAUGCAUAGAGAUUACACAGAAUACCGAUUGCGAAGGCAGAUCACUAACUGUAUACUGACGCUAAUGGACGAAAGCGUGGGGAGCGAACAGGAUUAGAAACCCCAGUAGUCC